rnacentral:rRNA from 1 species
CCUACGGGAGGCAGCAGUGAGGAAUAUUGGUCAAUGGACGAGAGUCUGAACCAGCCAAGUAGCGUGAAGGAUGACUGCCCUCUGGGUUGUACACUUCUUUUAUAAAGGAAUAAAACGAGGCACGUGUGCCUUUUUGCAUGUACUUUAUGAAUAAGGAUCGGCUAACUCCGUGCCAGCAGCCGCGGUAAUACGGAGGAUCCUAGCGUUAUCCGGAUUUAUUGGGUUUAAAGGGAGCGUAGUUGGGUUGUUAAGUCAGUUGUGAAAGUUUGCGGCUCAACCGUAAAACUGCAAUUGAUACUGGCAGUCUUGAGUACAGUUGAGGUAGGCGGAAUUCGUGGUGUAGCGGUGAAAUGCUUAGAUAUCACGAAGAACACCGAUUGCGAAGGCAGCUUACUAAACUGUGACUGACAUUGAUGCUCGAAAGUGUGGGUAUCAAACAGGAUUAGAUACCCGGGUAGUC